CCACGCCGCCCGCCCCCACGCCCCCACGCCCCACGACGCCCACCCCCACACCACUAUGCCCCCACGUGCCACGACGCCACGCCCCACGACGUCCUCCCUCACGCCCCCACGCCGCCCGCCCCCACGCCCCACGCCCCACGCCCCACGCCGUCCGCCCCCAAGCCCCCACGCCCCACGACGCCAGUCCCUAUGACGCCACGCCCGGGCAGCUUUGCGGGAAGGCGGCAGAACCCUGCGGCUGCGGAUGGAGCUGGCCGGCGGGGACUCUAGGGGACCGUCAGCUUUCAAAGGAGCCCCCUCCAAACCAGUGUUUCUGAAGCCCGGGAACAGACGCUCCGUCCGCCAGCGCUCAGAGAGGCCGCGGUUGAACUCCAAUAGCAGGAGAGCGGCUUUGAGUCGGCCCGAGAGGACCCUGUUUCUGAUGACAACGUGCAGUGUUCCGGAAGUUCCACCGAGAUGCCGUCGGCAUUGCUUUGCCUCAGAGCCCAGCCUCCUGCCGGACGUGGUGCCACAGAGGUCCCGUGUGCCUUGCGGCUGGCGUCUCGUUGAGUCUGCUCCGAUGUGGCUUCAUUAG
rnacentral:lncRNA from 1 species